CAUUAGUCCGACAAACCAUUACUCCGACAGCCCAUUAUUCCGACAAUGCAUUUUUCUUAUGUGUAUGGGUAAAUUUUCUCUAAAAAGACCAACUCCGUUCUCUGUAAUAUUUGUGGUUGUCCGUUUUGAUCCCAAUUAUUCUUUCCAUGCGGGAUAUAAGUCCCAGUAUAUUGGAGUUGAUACACAUGCUUAUUGCAACUGCUCAGUCCUUACCCUGGUCCCUCUUUCGUUUUACGUGUCUGGGUAUUUUAUUUUUCUUUACAUUUCAUCGUUUGUGUGUCCACUGUCAGUCUGUGCUGUUCUAGUUCGCUGUGUUUUUUGUGUGUGUCUUGAUCUACCUUCUUUCACUAGAUCGUCGGUUACCCCCUUU
rnacentral:lncRNA from 1 species